AACAAAUGUCUGGAACGAACUAAUGAACAAAGUUACCAAGAAAAGCUAAACCGCACUUCCAAUUUACCAUUGCACAAAGGAAUUCAGUUACCUGCUUGAUAACACGAUCGAUAAGCUUAUCCAAAGUAAAUAGUACGUAGGAGUUGGGCCCAAGAAAUUUCAAGCAGUGCUGCUCAAAGUUCCAAUUGUCAGUAGACCCAUCAAUCAGGCUGCAGAGUUUCUCCUUGAAACUACACCAUUCAAUAAAAUAAAAAGUUUCGCCAAUCCAAACAAAAAUAUGUAAUAGGAACAUACUGAAAUACCUGGAGAAGCCGGCAGAGCACAGCCAGAGUGCAACAAGAUAUUCCUCUGUUUGCAUCACAUUCUUUAGAUGUUCUUCCAAAAUAUUCUGAACUUCCAACCUCAUUGUUGGAGUCAUCUCUUGAUGAUUUAUGCUCUUCAGAUCCACUCCAAUGUCCAUAGGUACUAUGCAUAGAAUUAUUGGUAGGCAAACAUCGAACACGCAACUGUAUAUUUUCUACAUCUGGUAUGAACUCACCCUCCUCAACCUCCGCUAAAGUGUUGUAAGUACAUAUACCUUUGAAGAAAAAACAAACUCAUUAGUAAGCACAGCAACAGGAAUAUUAUUGAGAAAAUCUCUGCUCAUCCCACAAUGUUCACAAACGUUUCUGCGAGAAACUGUAUCCUUCAAGUCUGGCCAUUGAAACUUCACAGAAACAAAUGCCUUUACUAACUUUGUCCAAUUCAUCAUUGGCUUAUCUUCAGUAGAACAACUUCUACUAUAUGCAUAGUUAAUGAUAACGCCUACGUCCUCAUGAAUGUGAAUAUCAGUAUGAGAUUUGAUCCGACUGAUUUGUUUGUCUUCUGCCAGCAAAGCUGCAAGAGAGAUACUGAAAUGAGUAAGAACGAACUAAUAAAAUGGUAAAAUUUCCAUGAAUUAUAACGCAGAACCUAGCUUCAGCAGUACAUAAUAGUAAAAGUACCUUUUGGGCUCAUCCUUUCCAUGUCUAGUUGUUUGAAGGAGGGACUACAAUGAUCAAGUGAUCUGUAGUAAUUAUUGGCAACAGUAUCUGGGCACAUUUUAUUCAAGGAUAAUCGUGCCUCGGAGAAAUCUCCUAUCUUCUGAUUUAGACGAGAAAGUAUAACAGCAAGAGCAGAACUGGUGUUCUCAGAUUCUGACAAAGCAUCAAGCAUGUCAAUGCCAGAAUCAUCAUAUAGCUGUUCAAUGCACCUCUUAUGUAGAGCUGCACAUGUGUUCUUGAAUUUUCACAUUGCUGCCAAACCGAUAUUGAAGAUCCUCAAUAAAGUCAGCAGUUGCUCUAAACCUCUGCAAUAGCAUGUCACUCUCAAACCUAAAAAUCAUCUUCACACUUAAACAUGUUUUCUUCAUAUUGAUUUUUAGUUCUGAACUUGUAGCAAUCCUCACGUCCAGAUGUAACAGAAACCAAAGAAUCAUUUAAAAUAGACCUUCCAAGUUCAGUUUGGUAGCUUGACUGGAGAGAAUUUACAUUCUUUGGUAGCAGGCAAUAGCUAGGAGUGCAAUGCUUGCAAUUACUAGGAUCCACUUUUAGGGGUAAUUCGUUUUCUCGUGAGGUACUCCACUGAAGCAAAGGUUCAGCCUUGUGUUCCUCAUCAUCUUCUGCAUGAGGUGAUUUGUCAUCACCU
rnacentral:sRNA from 1 species